GAUGAACGCUGGCGGCGUGCCUAAUACAUGCAGGUCGAGCGAACGGACGAGAAGCUUGCUUCUCUGAUGUUAGCGGCGGACGGGUGAGUAACACGUGGAUAACCUACCUAUAAGACUGGGAUAACUUCGGGAAACCGUAGCUAAUACCGGAUAAUAUUUUGAACCGCAUGGUUCAAAAGUGAAAGACGGUCUUGCUGUCACUUAUAGCUGGAUCCGCGCUGCAUUAGCUAGUUGGUAAGGUAACGGCUUACCAAGGCAACGAUGCAUAGCCGACCUGAGAGGGUGAUCGGCCACCCUGGAACUGAGACACGGUCCAGACUACUACGGGACGCAGCAGUAGGGAAUCUUCCGCAAUGGGCGAAAGCCUGACGGAGCAACGCCGCGUGAGUGAUGAAGGUCUUCGGAUCGUAAAACUCUGUUAUUAGGGAAGAACAUAUGUGUAAGUAACUGUGCACAUCUUGACGGUACCUAAUCAGAAAGCCACGGCUAACUACGUG
rnacentral:rRNA from 1 species